AUUGAACGCUGGCGGCAGGCCUAACACAUGCAAGUCGAACGGUAACAGGAAGAAGCUUGCUUCUUUGCUGACUAGUGGCGGACGGGUGAGUAAUGUCUGGGAAACUGCCUGAUGGAGGGGGAUAACUACUGGAAACGGUAGCUAAUACCGCAUAACGUCGCAAGACCAAAGAGGGGGACCUUCGGGCCUCUUGCCAUCGGAUGUGCCCAGAUGGGAUUAGCUAGUAGGUGGGGUAACGGCUCACCUAGGCGACGAUCCCUAGCUGGUCUGAGAGGAUGACCAGCCACACUGGAACUGAGACACGGUCCAGACUCCUACGGGAGGCAGCAGUGGGGAAUAUUGCACAAUGGGCGCAAGCCUGAUGCAGCCAUGCCGCGUGUAUGAAGAAGGCCUUCGGGUUGUAAAGUACUUUCAGCGGGGAGGAAGGGAGUAAAGUUAAUACCUUUGCUCAUUGACGUUACCCGCAGAAGAAGCACCGGCUAACUCCGUG
rnacentral:rRNA from 1 species